rnacentral:rRNA from 1 species
GACGAACGCUGGCGGCGUGCCUAAUACAUGCAAGUUGAGCGCUGAAGGUUGGUACUUGUACCAACUGGAUGAGCAGCGAACGGGUGAGUAACGCGUGGGGAAUCUGCCUUUGAGCGGGGGACAACAUUUGGAAACGAAUGCUAAUACCGCAUAAAAACUUUAAACACAAGUUUUAAGUUUGAAAGAUGCAAUUGCAUCACUCAAAGAUGAUCCCGCGUUGUAUUAGCUAGUUGGUGAGGUAAAGGCUCACCAAGGCGAUGAUACAUAGCCGACCUGAGAGGGUGAUCGGCCACAUUGGGACUGAGACACGGCCCAAACUCCUACGGGAGGCAGCAGUAGGGAAUCUACGGCAAUGGACGAAAGUCUGACCGAGCAACGCCGCGUGAGUGAAGAAGGUUUUCGGAUCGUAAAACUCUGUUGGUAGAGAAGAACGUUGGUGAGAGUGGAAAGCUCAUCAAGUGACGGUAACUACCCAGAAAGGGACGGCUAACUACGUG